GGUUCUAUUUUCUAGGAUCACUCCAGACCCUAACCGUGUAUGAGUUCCUCCAAAAGCAGAGGCCAGGAUUUGGGUAAGGGUAAUUUAUUUAGGAAUAAGAGAAUCCUAGGAAGCAGAAGGGAGGGAAAAGGAAGAGCGAAACAAGGAAUAAGGAAGAGUCAACUCUGUGGGUUGCUGCUGUGGGUUGAGGUAGGGGUAUUGAUUCCAUGGAGGAAUGUGUAGCUAACCUUCCAGAAUUAUCCUUCUGAAGGACAGAAGGCUGGGACAUUAAUCCACUUUGUACUUAUCUCAUAUUCUUGAGAACUUCUCCUGGGUACAGGAAUCCCUUGUAAUUCUCUGGCAGCUUCAGAGACGUUGGGAAGAUACACAGAGCUCUUGAGGUCAAAUGUUGUCAGUGCACAGUAACAACUGUGGAUGGAAUUUGACGUGGGCACAGGGCAUGUGACGUGGGCACCAAGCCAUCAACUACAGUUCAUAUCUAUAGAUGACUGCUCCUGACUAAUAGAUGUAUAAUAUUGCAAUGGCCUAUUACAUAUUUCUGUGUAUUGCUUGCUACUGAAGUUCAAAGCAUUUGAUUUGAGCAUGCAAAUAAAGUAUGUAAAUAGAAAGCUCACAUUAAUGCAAAUGUAUAAAGCAAAACAUACUAAAUUGAGGCAUAUUAUACACUAUUCCCCUUAUUUUUCCAGGUAAAACUCUAUUGCAUUACUUUUAUAACUUUGGUCAUUACUACAUAAGCUGAGGAAUACUACAAUGCAAUUUUUUUAACUUUUUAUUUUGAAAUAGUUACAGAGUCAUGGGAAGUUGCAAAACAACAUAGCGUCCCGUGCACCCUUCCUCCAGCUUUCUCCAAUGCAAUACAAUUUUAAAUCUUUCUCCAUCUCAAUUUUACAGACUGCAUAUAUACAGCUAUAAGAUUAAUCUUUGAAAAGCAUGCACCUGAUCAUGUUGUUUCCUAUAAAUAUUCAAUUUCUCCACAUUGGCUAUUGUCUGUCUUGCUUUUAAGACUCUUUCCCCACCAAUUCUAUAGGUUUAGCUCUUUUGUGGGGUUCAUUCAUUCACCAAAUAUUUACUGAGAACUUACUAAGUGUUUGAGAUACAGUAGUAAAGUGUUUUAGAUACAGUGAACAAGGCUGGCAAGACGCUUGUCUUCCAGAAGGGAAGAUAGAUGAUCAGUAAACACUCCAGUCAAUAAACAUACUAAUAAGUUACCUAAGUCCAGAUUAUGGUAAGUAUGAUGAAUGUUACAAACAAGCCGAUGCUAUGUAAAAUAACUAGGACAGUCCUCUCUGAGGAGGUAACCUAAUGUUGUACCUAAGAAAUUUAAAUAGACCAGCUCUGGGAAGGAAGAGAGUUUUAUCUUUAAGCAAAGAUAAAACAAAACAAAACAAAACAAAAACAAGUGCAAAGACCCCAUUUGGGCCUUGAUUUGAACAAAAACCAGAAAGGAAGCCAGCCACUGAGGAAUGAGAAUGAUAAAUGGUUAGUUUAGCAAGAUAGAGAGGGAGGAUAUUGUGUAGGACUUGUGGUUUGUGGUAUGAAUUUAGGGUUUUAUUCUAGCUGCAAUGAUAGAUCAGUGGAGGUUUUUGAGUAGGGUGAUGACAUGAUCUGGCUCAUGCUUUGGAACAUCACCGUCAGAUGAUGCUGUCUGCAGCAAUGGGAAUGUUCUCUGCACUGUUCAGUAUGGUUGCCAUAUUAGAUGAAAUAGGUUGCUACUGAGCCCCUGAAAUGUGGUUGUUGAGAGUAAGUUAUCAGAUUUUUAAAUUUUGUUGCCCUUUAUUUAAUUCUAAAGAACGUGUAGCUAGGGGCUACCAUAUCAGGAAGCAGAGCUUUAGAAAGAUCAUUCUGGUUGAUAUGUGAAGAAUGAAUUGAAGGCAGACGUAAAGACAGAAAAGUGGGUAUGGAGAUGCCAACUGGGCAACUAUUGAUAUAGUCUUGGCAAAGGCUAAUGGAAACUUGGACCCUUGUGGCAGCAGCAUUGAGGACGGGUGGAUGGUUUUCAGAUAUUUUGUAAAUAGCAAACAGGACUUGUUGAUGGAUUAGGGUGGGGAGGAGUGAAAAGAAAGUGAUGAUCCAAAGAUGACUUCUAGUUCUUUGGCGUGAGCAACAGAGUGGGAGGUGCCAAUGAUUAAAGAUGGUGAGACUAAAGGAAAAAAAAAAAAAAAGAUUUGGGACAGGAAAGAAAACAUCUCUUUUUAAACAUUUUAAGUUUAGAUAUUUGUUUAUUUUUAUUUUCUUAAGAUAUCUAUAUAUUAUUACCUUUGUUACUCAAUGAUUCAGAUAAAUGAGACAGGUCAUCACCUCUAAGCAGGUUCUACAUCUUUAUUCUAUCUGUGCUUUGGUUAUGAUGGCACCUCUGUUUGAAAUACCAUCUUUCAUUUUAUCUAAUUAUGUUCCAUGCAACAGUAACAAACAUUUCUAACCUACUUUUAACCAAGACCCAUUGAAAAGAAUAUAUUUUAUAUGAUCACCAAGACACAUAUAUUUUGAAAUGAGAAUUUGGGGAAGGAUAUUUAACCUUACUGCUUAUGAUGUCCCCCUGACAUUCUCUUUCCUAUUCAAUUUGAUUUGAUUCUUUAAAAUACUGCAUGUAUUCAAUAAAUUUAUUUUUCUACCACCAGAGUCAAGGCCUAGAGUUUGAAAUUCACUUCUUCAAGACUGAUGUCAAAUAUUGGCUUUACUCCUUCUUCUAAGGCUGCUUUUAUUGCUUCUCUGUGCAGAAGCACAUUCUGCCUCUCUUCCUUACCACACUUAGCCUUUCCUUAAUGAUACUCAUUUACUUUUCCUAUCCAUCUGAUUCACUAACAAGUUCAAAUAAUGAAGAGAUAAUGAUUAUCGUUUAUAUUGCAUAGAACAACAUCGGUCCUCAAAUAGGUGUGGGAUUGGGGUGAAUUGGAAGAUGUAUUCUACUGCACUGUAUGUGACACCACAUCACCUUAACACCCAGCCACUUCAUGCUUUCAGAGAGCAGAGCUAGCAGCUGGCUCACGAGCAGGACGCUACACUCUGGGAGUCACAUUCAAGCAGCGAUGAGAAAACUGAGAAGCAAAAGAGGUGAUAGAAUUUGCCCAAGGUUACCCAGCCCAUUUUCCGGAGGGAACUAAGUACACGAAGACAUAGAGCAACACUGCUGGGCAAAAAGCUGCUAUUACGGCUGAAAUCAUCCAGAGUGAGAACUAAUAUGCUUUAGCUGUGUGUCCAGGCCAAGAGGACAAGCAGGAAGGGCUGGCGGGCUUACUGAUUUUACCUGGAGGUGACAGAAGCUGGAAUGAGAGUGUGCACUUCAGGCUGCAGUGACUCUGCCCAUUGAUAACUUCGAGUUGGCUUUAACGGAGUAAUCACAUCACUAAGUGAGAACUUGGGAGUAUGGCCAUACUCUCUGCAACUGCAUUCCCAGGAAGAAAACAGAUAGGUUUGAUAAAUGCAAAUGUUCUUUGCCACAAUGGGAAAGACUGAAGGCAAUUCAGAAGCAGCAGAUACAAGAACUUCAUGCCCUUCCCAUAUUUGCCUAAAGGCAGGGCAUAGAUUUAUGAAGGUGCCCCCACUGGCCCCCUACCAGGAAGACAGAAGUUAAUCACCAAAGACAACUCAAGAGAUGGCACCAGAGGAAUCUACAUGAUCAACCUGACUAACCCUUACCUUCCAUUAAUUUCCCCAUAUGUUUACUUUUCUACAAUUUGUCACCCUUAGGAACACAGAGUCCUUUUCUUUUGUCUUACCACUUCCUGCAAAUGUAUUGUUCCUUUGUUAAGAUGCUAGGUAAGUCCAGGUUCUAACCGCCCCUUUGAGAUAGUCAUCACUGGGCACUCCUGUGUGUCUGGGCUGUGCAUGCAUUAAUAAAACUUCUGUUUGUUUUUUCUCUUGUUAA